UGGUUGUGUGUGUGUGUCAGCUAGUGUGGUUGUGUUGGUCACUCUAACACGUACAGGUCAGCCAGUGUGGUUGUGUGUGUGUGUGUGUGUGUGUGUGUAGCCAGUGUGGUUGUGUUGGUCACUCUAACACGUACAGGUCAGCCAUCGUGGUUGUGUUGGUCACUAACACAUACAGGUCAGCUAGUGUGUGUGUGUGUGUGUGUGUGCAGCCAGUGUGGUUGUGUUGGUCACUCUAACACGUACAGCACGCCCAAGCUGAUCCUACAAGUGUUCAGUUGGGUUGAGGCCAUUCCAUCCGGUCCACUCCCACACCUGGAGGUAGUGUGUGAUGACAUCAUGACCCUGGCACUAUGGGUCCCAGAUUGUGGACAUAUUGGAACACACUCUUUAACAUGGGCAGAGAAUUAUGGCAACCUUUACUUGGCCGCUUCCCACAUAAUCAUCUGUGCUGCUCAUCCCACAAAUGUGUGAUCCUUACAAGUUGGACAUCAUUGUAAAGGUAAAUAAACAGGCUUUCCAACGAUAUAAAAUACA
rnacentral:lncRNA from 1 species